GCCCUAUUAGUCAAUCGGUUAGGCAUCGGUCUGCAAAACCGAGUAGGAUGGUUCGACUCCAUCAUAGGGCUCA
rnacentral:tRNA from 1 species